rnacentral:rRNA from 1 species
GAACCGUACAAACGUUAUUCGGAAUCACUGGGCUUAAAGGGUGCGUAGGCGGUCCGGCAAGUUGGGUGUGAAAGCCCUGGGCUCAACCCAGGAAUUGCGCUCAAAACUGCCGAACUAGAGGAAGACAGAGGCGAGCGGAACUUAGGGUGGAGCGGUGAAAUGCGUUGAUAUCCUAAGGAACACCAGUAGCGAAGGCGGCUCGCUGGGUCUUUUCUGACGCUGAGGCACGAAAGCCAGGGGAGCGAACGGGAUUAGAUACCCCGGGUAGUCCUGGCUGUAAACGAUGAGCACUGGGUUGGAGGCUCCCUCCCAUAGGCUUCCCAGCCCGUAGCGAAAGUGUUAAGUGCUCCGCCUGGGGGAGUAUGGUCGCAAGGCUG